UACGUAGGGGGCAAGCGUUGUCCGGAUUUAUUGGGCGUAAAGAGCUCGUAGGCGGUUUGGUAAGUCUGGUGUGAAAUCUCCACGCUCAACGUGGAGGGGCCACCCGAUACUGCCAUGACUGGAGUCCGGUAGGGGAGUGUGGAAUUCCCAGUGUAGCGGUGAAAUGCGUAGAUAUUGGGAGGAACAUCAGUGGCGAAGGCGGCUCACUGGACCGGUACUGACGCUGAGGCGCGAAAGCGUGGGGAGCAAACAGG
rnacentral:rRNA from 1 species